UCUAUAACUUCAGACAUGAGUUGAACACCGAACAAUAUCUAGGGUGCAAAACAGAUUCAGACUUCUUCUUUUUUUGCUAAAAUUUAAACUUAAAAGAGAAAGUAUUAAGUCUUUGGCUCUUCAUGAAUAUUUUAUGCACACGUAUAAAAUUUCCAUC
rfam:Populus trichocarpa scaffold_11_contig_147, whole genome shotgun sequence.